GUCGUAACCGGGCUGAAGUCGUACCGUAAGGAGCGGUGGACUGGUUACGAGUGAGAAUGUUGGCAUCAGUAGCGAGAUGUGGGUGAGAAUCCCACAGGCCGAAAACCUAAGGUUUCCUCAGGAAGGUUCGUCCGCUGAGGGUUAGUCGGGACCUAAGCCGAGGCCGAAAGGCGUAGGUGAUGGACAACUGGUUGAUAUUCCAGUACCACUACCAUCGUUAUUAUCGAUGGCGUGACGCAGGAGGAUAGUGUGUGCUAGCUAUUGGAUGCUAGUCUAAGCGUUUAGGCAGUGAGAGUAGGCAAAUCCGCUCUCAUAAUGCUGAGGCGUGAUGGGGAAGGUUCUACGGAACCGAAGUACAUGAUUCCACGCUGCCAAGAAAAGCGUCUAGAGAGAGAAGUAGUGCCCGUACCGCAAACCGACACAGGUAGGUGAGGAGAGAAUCCUAAGGCCGGCGGAAGAAUUACAGUUAAGGAACUCGGCAAAUUGACCCCGUAAGUUCGCGAGAAGGGGUGCCUACGAGAGUAGGCCGCAGAGAAUAGGCCCAAGCAACUGUUUAGCAAAAACACAGGUCUCUGCUAAAGCGUAAGCUGAUGUAUAGGGGCUGACGCCUGCCCGGUGCUGGAAGGUUAAGGGGAACACUUAGCGCAAGCGAAGGUGUGAACUUAAGCCCCAGUAAACGGCGGCCGUAACUAUAACGGUCCUAAGGUAGCGAAAUUCCUUGUCAGGUAAGUUCUGACCCGCACGAAUGGCGUAAUGACUUGGGCACUGUCUCAACUGUAAAUCCGGCGAAGUUGUAGUGCGAGUGAAGAUGCUCGCUACCCGCGAUUGGACGGAAAGACCCCGUAGAGCUUUACUGUAGCUUAGCAUUGAGUUUUGGUAUUGUCUGUACAGGAUAGGUGGGAGACUAGGAAACCAGGGCGUCAGCCUUGGUGGAGUCAACCUUGGGAUACCACCCUGACAGUACUGAAAUUCUAACUGGCGGCCAUGAAUCUGGUCACAGGACAUUGUUAGGUGGGCAGUUUGACUGGGGCGGUCGCCUCCUAAAAAGUAACGGAGGCGCCCAAAGGUUCCCUCAGAACGGUCGGAAAUCGUUCGAAGAGUGCAAAGGCAGAAGGGAGCCUGACUGCGACACCCACAAGUGGAGCAGGGACGAAAGUCGGGCUUAGUGAUCCGGUGGUACCUCGUGGGAGGGCCAUCGCUCAACGGAUAAAAGCUACCUCGGGGAUAACAGGCUGAUCUCCCCCAAGAGUCCACAUCGACGGGGAGGUUUGGCACCUCGAUGUCGGCUCGUCGCAUCCUGGGGCUGAAGUAGGUCCCAAGGGUUGGGCUGUUCGCCCAUUAAAGCGGCACGCGAGCUGGGUUCAGAACGUCGUGAGACAGUUCGGUCCCUAUCCGUCGCGGGCGUAGGAAAUUUGAGAGGAGCUGUCCUUAGUACGAGAGGACCGGGAUGGACUGACCUCUGGUGUACCAGUUGUUCCGCCAGGAGCACAGCUGGGUAGCUAAGUCGGGAAUGGAUAAACGCUGAAAGCAUCUAAGCGUGAAGCCAACCUCAAGAUGAGAUUUCCCAUA
rnacentral:rRNA from 1 species